rnacentral:rRNA from 1 species
GAUGAACGCUGGCGGCGUGCCUAAUACAUGCAAGUCGAGCGAACAGACGAGGAGCUUGCUCCUCUGACGUUAGCGGCGGACGGGUGAGUAACACGUGGAUAACCUACCUAUAAGACUGGGAUAACUUCGGGAAACCGGAGCUAAUACCGGAUAAUAUAUUGAGCCGCAUGGUUCAAUAGUGAAAGACGGUUUUGCUGUCACUUAUAGAUGGAUCCGCGCCGCAUUAGCUAGUUGGUAAGGUAACGGCUUACCAAGGCAACGAUGCGUAGCCGACCUGAGAGGGUGAUCGGCCACACUGGAACUGAGACACGGUCCAGACUCCUACGGGAGGCAGCAGUAGGGAAUCUUCCGCAAUGGGCGAAAGCCUGACGGAGCAACGCCGCGUGAGUGAUGAAGGUCUUCGGAUCGUAAAACUCUGUUAUUAGGGAAGAACAAAUGUGUAAGUAACUAUGCACGCCUUGACGGUACCUAAUCAGAAAGCCACGGCUAACUACGUG